rnacentral:rRNA from 1 species
GACGAACGCUGGCGGCGUGCUUAACACAUGCAAGUCGAACGGAAAGGCCCUGCUUGCCGUGUACUCGAGUGGCGAACGGGUGAGUAACACGUGGGUGAUCUGCCCUGCACUUCGGGAUAAGCCUGGGAAACUGGGUCUAAUACCGGAUAGGAGCCAUUUUUAGUGUGAUGGUUGGAAAGUUUUUUCGGUGUAGGAUGAGCUCGCGGCCUAUCAGCUUGUUGGUGGGGUAAUGGCCUACCAAGGCGGCGACGGGUAGCCGGCCUGAGAGGGUGGACGGCCACAUUGGGACUGAGAUACGGCCCAGACUCCUACGGGAGGCAGCAGUGGGGAAUAUUGCACAAUGGGCGAAAGCCUGAUGCAGCGACGCCGCGUGGGGGAUGACGGCCUUAGGGUUGGAAACUCCUUUCGCUAGGGACGAAGCUUUUUGUGACGGUACCUAGAGAAGAAGCACCGGCUAACUACGUG